GUGGGGAAUAUUGGACAAUGGGCGAAAGCCUGAUCCAGCCAUGCCGCGUGUGUGAAGAAGGUCUUCGGAUUGUAAAGCACUUUAAGUUGGGAGGAAGGGCAGUAAGUUAAUACCUUGCUGUUUUGACGUUACCAACAGAAUAAGCACCGGCUAACUACGUGCCAGCAGCCGCGGUAAGACGUAGGGUGCAAGCGUUAAUCGGAAUUACUGGGCGUAAAGCGUGCGCAGGCGGUUUUGUAAGACAGGUGUGAAAUCCCCGGGCUCAACCUGGGAAUGGCGAUGGAAACUGGGCGACUAGAGUGCGGUAGAGGAUGGCGGAAUUCCCGGUGUAGCGGUGAAAUGCGUAGAGAUCGGGAGGAACAUCCGUGGCGAAGGCGGCCAGCUGGACCAGCACUGACACUGAGGCACGAAAGCGUGGGGAGCAAACAGGAUUAGAUACCCUGGUAGUCC
rnacentral:rRNA from 1 species